rnacentral:rRNA from 1 species
GACGAACGCUGGCGGCGUGCUUAACACAUGCAAGUCGAACGGAAAGGCCCUGCUUUUGUGGGGUGCUCGAGUGGCGAACGGGUGAGUAACACGUGAGUAACCUGCCCUUGACUUUGGGAUAACUUCAGGAAACUGGGGCUAAUACCGGAUAGGAGCUCCUGCUGCAUGGUGGGGGUUGGAAAGUUUCGGCGGUUGGGGUGGAUCUGGGGCUUUUCGGCCUGGUGGUGGGGUAGUGGCAUACCAAGGCUUUGAAGGGUAGCCGGCCUGAGAGGGGGGCCGGCCACAUUGGUACUGAGAUACGGCCCAGACUCCUACGGGACGCAGCAGUGGGGAAUAUUGCACAAUGGGCGGAAGCCUGAUGCAGCAACGCCGCGUGCGGGAUGACGGCCUGCGGGUUGUAAACCGCUUUCGCCUGUGACGAAGCGUGAGUGACGGUAAUGGGUAAAGAAGCACCGGCUAACUACGUG